rnacentral:tRNA from 1 species
UCUAAUAUGGCAGAUUAGUGCAAUGAAUUUAAGCUUCGUAUAUAUGGGUAACCUUUUUUAGAA